GUAUCCUGGCUCAGGAUGAACGCUAGCUACAGGCUUAACACAUGCAAGUCGAGGGGCAGCAUGACGGAAGCUUGCUUCCGUUGAUGGCGACCGGCGCACGGGUGAGUAACGCGUAUCCAACCUGCCCUUGUCCACCGGAUAACCCGUCGAAAGGCGGACUAACACGGUAUGCAGUCCACAGCAGGCAUCUAACGUGGACGAAAUGUGAAGGAGAAGGAUGGGGAUGCGUCUGAUUAG
rnacentral:rRNA from 1 species